UACAGAGGGUGCGAGCGUUUAAUCGGAAUUACUGGGCGUAAAGCGUGCGUAGACGGCUAUCUAAGUCGGGUGUGAAAGCCCCGGGCUCAACCUGGGAAUUGCAUUCGAGACUGAAUAGCUAGGGUACGGUAGAGGGAAGUGGAAUUUCCGGUGUAGCGGUGAAAUGCGUAGAUAUCGGAAGGAACAUCAGUGGCGAAAGCGACUUCCUGGACCAGUACCGACGUCAGGCACGAAAGCG
rnacentral:rRNA from 1 species